rnacentral:lncRNA from 10 species
AGAUGGAAUCUUGCUCUCUUGCUCAGACUGGAGUGCAGUGGCAUGACCUUGGCUCACUGCAACCUCACCUCUCGGGUUCAAGCGAUUCUGCCUCAGCCUCUCGAGUAGCUGGGACUACAGGUGGGAGACCUCCACAGAACCCUUCCAGCAAGCUGUCUUCUAAAGCAAACAAGAAAAGGAAAGUCUGAGCAGUUUUGAUUAGAUUUCCCAGAAGUCAAAGCAAGGAAAAAUGAAAAAGCUUCAUUUCUCACGUUCUUAAAAGAGAGCACAGAUGUUGCAUCAUCUGGUUAGAUACCCUGAGAAUAAAAUCUGGAUCCAGUGAGAGGAAAGAUUCUGGGUGCUCAUGAAAAAAGAAACAAAACAAAACUUGGGAGCCUCUUGAGAGUGUACAGCAUCAGCCCUUGCCAACUCUUGUUUAUAUGCAUUUAACUUUCAGUUAACCAUGGGAAUAAUUCAUGAAAAUCCAAUCUACAAACAAAGGCCAUCCUAACGUUCAUGUUAUUCUUUUCCCUAAGAAUCUUUCACAAGAGCUAUAAUCAAGUAGAAUUAUGCUUUGAUUUGAAUUCUAAUUCAAUUGAAAAUAAAAAAUGAGGGCCGGACGCGGUGGCUCAUGCCUGUAAUCCCAGCGCUUUGGGAGGCUGAGGUGGACGGAUCACGAGGUCAGGAGAUCGAGACCAUCCUGGCUAACACGGUGAAACCCGAUCCCUACUAAAAAUACAAAAAAUUAGCCGGGCGUGGUGGCAGGCGCCUGUAGUCCCAGCUACUCGGGAGGC